UAGGGCCUAUAAUUAUAUUUAGGAACUUCUCAAAACCGAAUCACACCGGUAGGAACUUCGUGUUUAUCAAAACUGAAACUUCCUAACUUCCCCCACUCGAUUCUUCUGAGUUUCAUUUUCUUAACAUAGCCAUUAAAUUUGAUCAGCGUAUUUAAUCAACUUCAUCACGUAAAUAUUUAAUUUUCUCUAAAACCCCAAUUUUUACUGAAACUUGAACCCAUUUUAUUCCGAUUCCGAUUCCAAUUUGUAAACAAAGAUUUAGCUCGAAAGGGUGAAAGUGGUAAGGGGUUGAUCCCAAAGACGAACAUAGAGAAGAUUUCAUCAUCAUCUGGAUCUGGACUAGAAAUCUUCCAUAAGAGAUUGAAGAGGAAUAGAGGAGGAUUGUAUUUGAUUAGAGAUUGAAGAGGAGCAGAGGAGGAUUGUACAAAAGCUAUCGAACUAGACAAUAACAAGGCACUCCUUGCAUUACGGAUUGCGUCAUGGCAGAGCUUGUGAAAUUGGGUCAGAAGUACCAAAAACAAGAUAUAUGGGUCGUCCUCGGGGUGAUAAACUUUUGGCAAUCUGCACUGUAAUGUCAACUUUGUUCAUCUGGCUCGGAUUAGUCAGCUUGUAUUGGUCUCUCUUGGCUGCAUGUGUUGUGACUUGCUGGAAGAAGGAGGCAGUUGCACUUGGACAUGUUAAUUUUAGUACACCACCAAAUGAUGGUGGUUAUGAAGUCCUUAUAGAUGAGAAUACAGAUAGCAAUAUGGAACUAUAUGUGUUGGAGAUGGAAAACUUGGAUAUAUUGAUCCCUGUGAGACAAUUGAAUGGCCAAAGCAAUACGUAACUCGUGCACUUGGAUGUUAAAUCAUAAUGUUUUUUUUUUCUUAUUUGUUGUUAUGAACAUGAAGUAGCUUUUGUUGUUGAAUUUAAUUGUUGAGUUGUUAAAUGAAUUAAAAGUCAAUUUUAAUAGAAUGGGUUAGAUUUUCUUACAAAA